UAGGGAAUCUUCGGCAAUGGACGGAAGUCUGACCGAGCAACGCCGCGUGAGUGAAGAAGGUUUUCGGAUCGUAAAGCUCUGUUGUUAGAGAAGAACGUUGGUAGGAGUGGAAAAUCUACCAAGUGACGGUAACUAACCAGAAAGGGACGGCUAACUACGUGCCAGCAGCCGCGGUAAUACGUAGGUCCCGAGCGUUGUCCGGAUUUAUUGGGCGUAAAGCGAGCGCAGGCGGUUCUUUAAGUCUGAAGUUAAAGGCAGUGGCUUAACCAUUGUACGCUUUGGAAACUGGAGGACUUGAGUGCAGAAGGGGGGAGUGGAAUUCCAUGUGUAGCGGUGAAAUGCGUAGAUAUAUGGAGGAACACCGGUGGCGAAAGCGGCUCUCUGGUCUGUAACUGACGCGGAGGCUCGAAAGCGUGGGGAGCAAACAGG
rnacentral:rRNA from 1 species